rnacentral:rRNA from 1 species
UACGUAGGGACCGAGCGUUGUCCGGAAUCAUUGGGCGUAAAGAGCGUGUAGGCGGCCAGGUAGGUCUGCUGUGAAAACUCGAGGCUCAACCUCGAGACGUCGGCGGAAACCAUCUGGCUAGAGUCCGGAAGAGGAGAGUGGAAUUCCUGGUGUAGCGGUGAAAUGCGCAGAUAUCAGGAAGAACACCCGUGGCGAAGGCGGCUCUCUGGGACGGUACUGACGCUGAGACGCGAAAGCGUGGGGAGCGAACAGG